GAAGACGUUUGACCGGGGAAUGGUCUGGAACACGGACCUGGUGGAGACCCUGGAGCUGCAGAACCUGAUGCUAUGUGCGCUGCAGACCGUCAAUGGAGCAGAGGCGGGGAAGGAGUCACGGGGCGCGCACGCCGGGGAAGACUACAAGAGUAAUGAGAAAUGUGAUGGUGUUUCUGGGCUCAGGUGCGGAUUGAUGAGUACGAUCACUCCAAGCCCAUCCAGGGGCAACAGAAGAAGCCCUUUGAGGAGCACUGGAGGAAGCACACCCUGUCCUAUGUGGACGUCAGCACUGGGAAGGUCACUGUGGAAUAUAGACCCAUAAUCGACAAAACUUUGAAUGAGGCUGACUGUGCCACUGUCCCCCCAGCCAUUCACUCCUACUGAUGAGACAAGAUGCGGUGAUGACAGAAUCAGCUUUUGUAAUUAUGUAUAAUAGCUCAUGCAUGUGUCAAUGUCAUAACUGUCUUUAUACGCUUCUGCACUCUGGGGAAGAAGGAGUACAUUGAAGGGGGAUUGGCACCCAGUGGCCGGGGAGCGUGGCACUUUGUCCCUUGCUUCAUUCUUGUGACAAGAUAAAACUGGGCACAGCUCUUAAAUAAAAUAUAAAUGAACAAA
rnacentral:lncRNA from 1 species